rnacentral:rRNA from 1 species
UGCAGUCGAGCGCGUGAAUCAACAUGAUCCCUUCGGGGUGAUUGUUGUGGAUCGAGCGGCGGACGGGUGAGUAACACGUGGGCAACCUACCCAUGAGAUCGGGAUAACUCCGGGAAACCGGAGCUAAUACCGAAUAACCCAGUGAACUGCAUGGUUCACUGGUAAAAGGCGGUUUCGGCCGUCACUCAUGGAUGGGCCCGCGGCGCAUUAGCUAGUUGGUAAGGUAACGGCUUACCAAGGCGACGAUGCGUAGCCGACCUGAGAGGGUGAUCGGCCACACUGGGACUGAGACACGGCCCAGACUCCUACGGGAGGCAGCAGUAGGGAAUCUUCCGCAAUGGACGAAAGUCUGACGGAGCAACGCCGCGUGAACGAUGAAGGUCUUCGGAUCGUAAAGUUCUGUUGUUAGGGAAGAACAAGUGCCAGAGGAAAUGCUGGUACCUUGACGGUACCUAACCAGAAAGCCACGGCUAACUACGUGCCAGCAGCCGCGGUAAUACGUAGGUGGCAAGCGUUGUCCGGAAUUAUUGGGCGUAAAGCGCGCGCAGGCGGUUUCUUAAGUCUGAUGUGAAAGCCCACAGCUCAACUGUGGAGGGCCAUUGGAAACUGGGGAACUUGAGUACAGAAGAGGAGAGUGGAAUUCCACGUGUAGCGGUGAAAUGCGUAGAUAUGUGGAGGAACACCAGUGGCGAAGGCGACUCUCUGGUCUGUAACUGACGCUGAGGCGCG